UACAGAGGUGGCAAGCGUUGUUCGGAAUUACUGGGCGUAAAGGGCGCGUAGGCGGUCCUGUAAGUCUUGUGUGAAAUCCCUCGGCUCAACCGGGGAACUGCGUCCGAUACUGGCGGGCUUGAAUUCGGGAGAGGGAUGUGGAAUUCCAGGUGUAGCGGUGAAAUGCGUAGAUAUCUACAGGAACUCCGGUGGCGAAAGCGACGUGCUGGACCUCUUCUGACGCUGAGGCGCGAAAGCUAGGGGAGCAAACGGG
rnacentral:rRNA from 1 species